ACUCAAAUGAAUUGACGGGGACCCGCACAAGCGGUGGAGCAUGUGGAUUAAUUCGAUACUAACCGAAGAACCUUACCCAGACUUGACAUCGAAGGCAAGGCCCUGAAAGGGGUCCCCCUCUCACAAGGAGGCCUGAAGACACUUGUUGCAUGGCUGUCGUCAGCUCGUGCCGUGAGGUGUACGGUUAAGUCCGCCAACGAGCGCAACCCACGUCGUGUGUUACCAGCGAGAGAGUCGGGCACUCACACGAGACCGCCGGUGUAAGCCGGAGGAAGGUGUGGAUGACGUCAAGUCAGCAUGGCAGUUACGUCUGGGGCUUCACACAUGCUACAAUGGACGCAACAAAGGGCAGCAAUACCGCGAGGUGGAGCAAAUCCCAAAAAUACGUCCUCAGUUCAGAUUGUAGUCUGCAACUCGACUACAUGAAGGCGGAAUCGCUAGUAAACGCAGGUCAGCUAUACUGCGUUGAAUACGUUCCCGGGUCUUGUACACACCGCCCGU
rnacentral:rRNA from 1 species